UGCCCACUUCUUUUUCCCCACCCAAUAUAAAUUACAUUUUCUCUUUUUUAUUUUACAGAUUACACUGAGAGAUCUCCCUUUCCUUCUCUCUCUCUGUUUAACAGGAACAACAUUGAAUUUUGAACUUGGUACCACUUUCACACCUGUCUGAUUCCUUUUUCCUUUCUCCACAUUCUUUAGUUUAUUUUCCUUGUUGUUACCAUGUUUCCUUUCUCUCUCUCCCUCUCUCUUUAUUUCCAGGUUUCUUUUCAGAUUUUCUUAUAUACACCCCUGUCUCUCUCUCUCUCCUACAUAUACACAUAAACAUACAUAUAUAUAUAUGUAUAUGUAUCGAUAGAGGGAGAUUGGCAGAAGUGAACAAAAUAUACCUGAUGGCAUUUGGUUACUGUUUUUUAUAUUUAUUAUUUAAUUUUUAAAUCCUGCCACGGUGAACUUUACCUUUCUCUUUCCUGAUGUCAAUGAAUUAAGAACCUAUCAACGAAUGGAAGGUGGUGUCAUUGGCUAUACUCUUGAGGGCCCUGCUGCCCCAGUAUGAGAACUGUCAAAUAGAUAGAUUUACACACAUGAACAAACACAUUUUUGCAUUUCGAAAUACAAGCAGGAAGAAGAGAA